rnacentral:rRNA from 1 species
GAUGAACGCUGGCGGCGUGCCUAACACAUGCAAGUCGAACGGGACUUAUUGAGAUGAUUUCGGUCUGAUCUUUAAGUUUAGUGGCGGACGGGUGAGUAACGCGUGGACAACCUGCCUUUCACAGGGGGAUAGCAGCCGGAAACGGCUGGUAAUACCGCAUACGCUCUUUAUACCGCAUGGUGCAGAGAGGAAAGAUUUAUCGGUGAAAGAUGGAUCCGCGUCUGAUUAGCCAGUUGGCGGGGUAACGGCCCACCAAAGCGACGAUCAGUAGCCGGGCUGAGAGGGCGGACGGCCACAGUGGGACUGAGACACGGCCCAGACUCCUACGGGAGGCAGCAGUGGGGGAUAUUGCACAAUGGGCGCAAGCCUGAUGCAGCGACGCCGCGUGAGUGAAGAAGUAUUUCGGUAUGUAAAGCUCUAUCAGCAGGGAAGAAAGGCCCGCAAGGGAGAUGACGGUACCUGACUAAGAAGCCCCGGCUAACUACGUGCCAGCCGCCGCGGUAAAAC